CAGUAGCCGCGGUAAUACGAAGGUCCCAAGCGUUGUUCGGAAUCACUGGGCGUAAAGGGAGCGUAGGCGGCGUGGUAAGUCAGAUGUGAAAUCCCGGGGCUCAACCCCGGAACUGCAUCCGAUACUGCCAUGCUUGAGGGUUGGAGAGGUGACUGGAAUUCUCGGUGUAGCAGUGAAAUGCGUGGAUAUCGAGAGGAACACUCGUGGCGAAGGCGAGUCACUGGACAACAUCUGACGCUGAGGCUCGAAGGCUAGGGUAGCGAAAGGGAUUAGAUACCCCCGUAGUCCCUGUCUCUUAUAC
rnacentral:rRNA from 1 species